UACAGAGGAUGCAAGCGUUAUCCGGAAUGAUUGGGCGUAAAGCGUCUGUAGGUGGCUUUUAAGUCCGCCGUCAAAUCCCAGGCUCAACUCUGGACAGGCGGUGGAAACUACCAAGCUGGAGUACGGUAGGGCAGAGGGAAUUCCGGUGGAGCGGUGAAAUGCGUAGAGAUCGGAAAGAACACCAACGGCGAAAGCACUCUGCUGGGCCGACACUGACACUGAGAGACGAAAGCUAGGGGAGCGAAUGGG
rnacentral:rRNA from 1 species